GGCCCUGUGGCGCAACGGUAGCGCAUCUGACUCCACAUCAGUAGGUUGCCCGUUCGUAUGGGACCGGGGUCA
rnacentral:tRNA from 1 species